CACGUAGGCGGACUAUUAAGUCAGGGGUGAAAUCCCGGGGCUCAACCCCGGAACUGCCCUUGAUACUGGUAGUCUUGAGUUCGAGAGAGGUGAGUGGAAUUCCGAGUGUAGAGGUGGAAUUCGUAGAUAUUCGGAGGAACACCAGUGGCGAAGGCGGCUCACUGGCUCGAUACUGACGCUGAGGUGCGAAAGUGUGGGGAGCAAACA
rnacentral:rRNA from 1 species